AAGGAGUUUAUGAUCUCAUUGGAGAGAUAAGAUCUGCACAGUCCCUGGAGAACAUCAGGAUUAGAUACAGAAUGAAGAGCAGAAAUGGGCCAGAGGAGACACGGAAGUCCUGUGGAAAAUACAAAAUGUUGCUUAACAUCUCAACACUCAAGAAAAAUGUGAAGCUGGGAAAGUAGACUUGGUGGUCUUCAGAACGUAAGUAACAGUUGAGGCCCUGGGAGAGGGUGGGUUUAACCAGGAGAAUUUGCUGGGAGAGCAGCGUGUAAGAGACUGAGAAGGAAGGGAUGCUGAUGGAGAAGAAGGCAGGGGGAUUAUAAAGGCAGGAGGAAGCUUGAC
rnacentral:lncRNA from 1 species